rnacentral:rRNA from 1 species
GACGAACGCUGGCGGCGUGCUUAACACAUGCAAGUCGAACGGAAAGGCCCUGCUUGCCGGGUGCUCGAGUGGCGAACGGGUGAGUAACACGUGGGUGAUCUGCCCCUUACUUUGGGAUAAGCCUGGGAAACUGGGUCUAAUACUGGAUAGGACCAUGCUGUAGGUGGUGUGGUGGAAAGAUUAGUUUCGGUAAGGGAUGAGCUCGCGGCCUAUCAGCUUGUUGGUGGGGUAAUGGCCUACCAAGGCGUCGACGGGUAGCCGGCCUGAGAGGGUGGACGGCCACAUUGGGACUGAGAUACGGCCCAGACUCCUACGGGAGGCAGCAGUGGGGAAUAGUGCACAAUGGGCGCAAGCCUGAUGCAGCGACGCCGCGUGGGGGAUGACGGCCUUCGGGUUGUAAACUCCUUUCAGCCAUGACGAAGCCCUUGUGGUGACGGUAGUGGCAGAAGAAGCACCGGCUAACUACGUG